rnacentral:tRNA from 1 species
GCGCCCGUAGCUCAGUGGAUAGAGCGGCGGCCUCCGGAGCCGUAGGUCGGGGGUUCAAGUCCCUCCGGGCGCGCCA